AGCGUUAAUCGGAAUUACUGGGCGUAAAGCGAGCGUAGGUGGCUUGAUAAGUCAGAUGUGAAAUCCCCGGGCUUAACCUGGGAACUGCAUCUGAAACUGUUAGGCUAGAGUAGGUGAGAGGAAGGUAGAAUUCCAGGUGUAGCGGUGAAAUGCGUAGAGAUCUGGAGGAAUACCGAUGGCGAAGGCAGCCUUCUGGCAUCAUACUGACACUGAGGCUCGAAAGCGUGGGUAGCAAACAGGAUUAGAUACCCUGGUAGUCCACGCCGUAAACGAUGUCUACUAGUCGUUGGGUCCCUUGAGGACUUAGUGACGCAGCUAACGCAAUAAGUAGACCGCCUGGGGAGUACGGCCGCAAGGUU
rnacentral:rRNA from 1 species